UAUUUUAAGGUGACUCAGCGUUAUAUAUAAAAAAAAAUUGAUGUGGCCUGCACACUGUUGUAAAAACAAAAUUCAUAUUAGGUGGGGCACUUUUCUGGGUAAAGUUAUAAUUUAACUUUCUAAUCUUCAUCUUCUACCAGUUACUGAUGGUGAAAUCUGUCUGGUGGAGCCUUCUGCCAUAAGAGACAUCCAUGCAGUUGAGGAUGAAGACACCUUGUCAGCUGCCACAGAGAGAGAAGAUACAGAGAGGCCUAUUGAGAGCAAUGCUGCAAAUUACAAUGAGGAAGAGGGUCCCUCCACCUCCACAGCAUUGACCCAUGACUUACAAUGAAACUAAGUAGACCUGGCUUUGUGAAAUUCAAUGUCAUUUUUUGUGUUCCUAUAGCUCCCUAUGAAACAGCUGUACAAGGUCUACUUACAGAAACAAAUUGAAAAAUGUAAUUUAGAAAUUGACCACAAGGUUGCAGAUGCAAAAUAUAAAAAUAUAAAUAAAACUGCUAGAACAUCAGUUAAAGGUGGGUGAGGUACCCAC